rnacentral:rRNA from 1 species
ACCGUGGUAUUCUAGAGCUAAUACAUGCUAAAAACCCCGACUUCGGAAGGGGUGUAUUUAUUAGAUAAAAAACCAAUGCCCUUUGGGCUCCUUGGUGAUUCAUAAUAACUUAACGAAUCGCAUGGCCUUGCGCCGGCGAUGGUUCAUUCAAAUUUCUGCCCUAUCAACUUUCGAUUGUAAGAUAGAGGCUUACAAUGGUCUUAACGGGUAACGGGGAAUUAGGGUUCUAUUCCGGAGAGGGAGCCUGAGAAACGGCUACCACAUCCAAGGAAGGCAGCAGGCGCGCAAAUUACCCAAUGCUAAUUCAGCGAGGUAGUGACAAUAAAUACUGAUACGGGGCUCUUUCGGGUCUCGUAAUUGGAAUGAGUACAAUCUAAAUCCCUUAACGAGGAACAAUUGGAGGGCAAGUCUGGUGCCAGCAGCCGCGGUAAUUCCAGCUCCAAUAGCGUAUAUUAAAGUUGUUGCCGUUAAAAAGCUCGUAGUUGAACCUUGGACCUGGCUGAUCUGUCCUCCUAAUCGAGCGCACGGAUUCGGUCGGGUCUUUCCUUCUGGGGAGCCCUAUGCCCUUCACUGGGUGUAGUGGGGAACCAGGACUUUUACCUUGAAAAAAUUAGAGUGUUCAAAGCAGGCCUUUGCUCGAAUACAUUAGCAUGGAAUAAUAGAAUAGGACAUCGGUUCUAUUUUGUUGGUUUCUAGGACCGCUGUAAUGAUUAAUAGGGAUAGUCGGGGGCGUCAGUAUUCAAUUGUCAGAGGUGAAAUUCUUGGAUUUAUUGAAGACUAACUACUGCGAAAGCAUUCGCCAAGGAUGUUUUCAUUAAUCAGUGAACGAAAGUUAGGGGAUCGAAGACGAUCAGAUACCGUCGUAGUCUUAACCAUAAACUAUGCCGACUAAGGAUCGGACGGUGGUUUUUUUAUGCCCCGUUCGGCACUUUACGAGAAAUCAAAGUUUUUGGGCUCGGGGGGGAGUAUGGUCGCAAGGCUGAAACUUAAAGAAAUUGACGGAGGGGCACCACCAGGCGUGGAGCCUGCGGCUUAAUUUGACUCAACACGGGGAAACUCACCAGGUCCAGACAUGCUUAGGAUUGACAGAUUGAUAGCUCUUUCUUGAUUGUAUGGGUGGUGGUGCAUGGCCGUUCUUAGUUGGUGGAGUGAUUUGUCUGCUUAAUU